rnacentral:rRNA from 1 species
CCCGGGCCUUGUACACACCGCCCGUCACACCAUGGGAGUCGUUUGCUCCAGAAGUGGCUAUGCCAACCCGCAAGGGGGGUAGGCCCCAAGGAGUGAACGGUAACUGGGGUG